CUCCCACCAGCCAAUCCCAGUGCGCUCAUUUUGGGACGAACAAACCGGAUCCCCGAGAGCCCCGAGCGCCCAUCCCGAGCUGGGAAAUUCCCUUUUCCCGGCGGAGCGGGAGCGCGGCGGGCUCAGCCCCCGUAGCCAUGGCAGCGGGUAUUCAUUACAUUUAAUUACUGUUAAUUACACUCCCAGCGCUCGCAGCUCCGGACUUCGGCCCCGAGCACACACACAAGCGGCAGCUCCGCUCCUGCCAGGAGAGAGAAACCCCCGAAUUUCCCCCAAAUCAUGGCAAAGUUUCUGUCGCAGGAUCAAAUUAAUGUCCCUCUCCUCCCGGGAUUUGCUGGCUGGGAAAACAAGGAAACCUCCCCAGUUCCAUGAAAAUUCUGCAUUUCUAAAGGUGGGUCCGGCAGAAAUUCCAGGAGCCCCGAUCCCGGUUCUGGAGGGAUUCGGGAGGAGGAGGA